rnacentral:lncRNA from 1 species
CCCUAGCACAAUCUGAUACAAAAAUAUGGGAGACUGGGUCCACCGUCAACCCCGACAGCAUCCGACGGUCUGACACCGUCUAACUCUACUGUAACAACACACUCAGCUCCUCAACGCGAGUGUAAACUCAACCUAUACUCGUCUAAGUAUCCACCUCGCACUGACAGCGGUGAUACAGAAAUAUGGGUCAUCGUCAACCCCGACGGCACCCGACAGCAUGAAACAGUCUAUACACUACUGUAAAACAAGCUCAACAUCCCAACACGAGUAUAAACUCACCCUACACUAAUCUGGGUAUCCACCACAUACUAACAGUGGCGAUAUAAAAGAACCACAGCUCUUAUAGCUAAAUCUGUUAGCUUUUCAGAAAAUGACAGUGUAAGGUUUAGAAUGUUUUCU